UCCUCCCCGCGACCGCUACAUUCUGCGCCGAAACCCUGCUCUCCCGGUCCGGACUUUAACUUCUUCCCACAGACCUAGUGGUACCUCGUUGGGUACCGGGAGGCGGUUUGGACUACUGGCAUCACGGAUUGAGUGCGAUUUUGCGCGGAUGACGACUCCUUCAACGAGAAUUUAGUAAAAGAAAAUUGGUCGGAAAUUUCAGAAUAUGUGGAGGAGACCCUAAUUUCAGCAUCCUGGAAGUAGAAAGCACAGAAGAGCUGUGUCUCACACAACAGACAGGUGCCGUGAGUGGCCGGAGCAGCUCGGAGGAAGGACGCUCCGCGGAGGCGGCGGUGCGGCAGCUCGCCUCUCCGGCUGUGGACGUGCUGGGUGGCGACCCCCAGGCUGCACACGAUGUGGCCGGGGAGUCGCCCGGGCGAGCCCCGCAGCCGGUCGCAGCUGCCCCCCGCCCGGCCCCUCCGCUCGCCGCCGUCAUGGAGCCGCCUCCCCCUCGCCCCUCUGCCGCCGGCACGGUGGCACAAACUGGUAAAGAGGAAAUCCGGCCGGUCAGUCCGGCCACCCAGACCGAGCCGCCGCCCCCCGCUGCUGGAUCUGUGUUUACUACGGGGGGAGAGCAGGAUUAUAACCCGGAGGCCGGACGGAACACGGAACUCACUGGAAACGAGCACACGGGUGGAAGCGU